GACGGGGGGGGCAAGUGUUCUUCGGAAUGACUGGCGUAAGGGCACGUAGGCGGUGAAUCGGGUUGAAAGUGAAAGUCGCCAAAAAAGUGGCGGAAUGCUCUCGAAACCAAUUCACUUGAGUGAGACAGAGGAGAGUGGAAUUUCGUGUGUAGGGGUGAAAUCCGUAAAUAUACGAAGGAACGCCAAAAGCGAAGGCAGCUCUCUGGGUCCCUACCGACGCUGGGGUGCGAAAGCAUGGGGAGCGAACAGG
rnacentral:rRNA from 1 species